rnacentral:rRNA from 1 species
CUACGGGAGGCAGCAGUGGGGAAUAUUGGACAAUGGGGGAAACCCUGAUCCAGCUAUGCCGCGUGAAUGAUGAAGGCCUUAGGGUUGUAAAGUUCUUUUAUAAGGGAAGAUGAUGACGGUACCUUAUGAAUAAGCACCGGCAAACUUCGUGCCAGCAGCCGCGGUAAUACGAAGGGUGCUAGCGUUGUUCGGAAUUACUGGGCGUAAAGCGCACGCAGGCGGCUAGAUCAGUCGGGUGUGAAAGCCCCGGGCUUAACCUGGGAACUGCAUCCGAUACUGUCUAGCUUGAGUACAGGAGAGGAGAGUGGAAUUCCACAUGUAGCGGUGAAAUGCGUAGAUAUGUGGAGGAACACCAAUGGCGAAGGCAGCUCUCUGGCCUGAUACUGACGCUGAGGUGCGAAAGCGUGGGGAGCAAACAGGAUUAGAUACCCCAGUAGUC